rnacentral:rRNA from 1 species
UACAGAGGGUGCAAGCGUUGUUCGGAAUUACUGGGCGUAAAGCGCGUGUAGGCGGCGGCGUAAGUCGGAUGUGAAAGCCCUCAGCUCAACUGAGGAAGUGCAUCCGAUACUGCGUUGCUUGAAUGUCGGAGGGGAUGGCGGAAUUCCCGGUGUAGAGGUGAAAUUCGUAGAUAUCGGGAGGAACACCUGUGGCGAAGGCGGCCAUCUGGACGACUAUUGACGCUGAGACGCGAAAGCGUGGGUAGCAAACAGG